rnacentral:rRNA from 1 species
AUUGAACGCUGGCGGCGUGCCUAACACAUGCAAGUCGAGCGGCAGCGCGGUAGCAAUACUGGCGGCGAGCGGCGGACGGGUGAGCAAUGCUUGGGAAUCUGCCUAUCAGUGGGGGACAACCCGGGGAAACUCGGGCUAAUACCGCAUACGUUCUUCGGAAGAAAGCAGGGGAUCGCAAGACCUUGCGCUGAUAGAUGAGCCCAAGUCGGAUUAGCUAGUUGGUGAGGUAACGGCUCACCAAGGCGACGAUCCGUAGCUGGUCUGAGAGGACGACCAGCCACACCGGAACUGAGACACGGUCCGGACUCCUACGGGAGGCAGCAGUGGGGAAUAUUGGACAAUGGGGGCAACCCUGAUCCAGCGACGCCGCGUGGGUGAAGAAGGCCUGCGGGUUGUAAAGCCCUUCGUUGGGGAAGAAAAGUGUCGACCUAACACGUCGGCACCUUGACGUUACCCAAAGAAGAAGCACCGGCUAACUCUGUGCCAGCAGCCGC